AACGAACGCUGGCGGCAUGCCUAACACAUGCAAGUCGAACGAGACCUUCGGGCCUAGUGGCGCACGGGUGCGUAACGCGUGGGAAUCUGCCCUUGGGUUCGGAAUAACAGGUGGAAACGACUGCUAAUACCGGAUGAUGACGUACGUCCAAAGAUUUAUCGCACAAGGAUGAGCCCGCGUAGGAUUAGCUAGUUGGUGAGGUAAAGGCUCACCAAGGCGACGAUCCUUAGCUGGUCUGAGAGGAUGAUCAGCCACACUGGGAGUGAGACACGGCCCAGACUCCUACGGGAGGCAGCAGUGGGGAAUAUUGGACAAUGGGCGAAAGCCUGAUCCAGCUAUGCCGCGUGAGUGAUGAAGGCCUUAGGGUUGUAAAGCUCGUUUACCCGGGAUGAUAAUGACAGUACCGGGAGAAUAAGCUCCGGCUAACUCCGUG
rnacentral:rRNA from 1 species